rnacentral:rRNA from 1 species
GGGGGUACACGAGUGGCGCACGGGUGAGUAACGCGUAUGCAACCUGCCCUGUACAGGGGGAUAGCCCGGAGAAAUCCGGAUUAAUACCCCAUAGUUUUUAUGAGUCGCAUGGCUUAUAAAAUAAAGUUUCGGCGGUACAGGAUGGGCAUGCGUGGCAUUAGCUAGUUGGUAAGGUAACGGCUUACCAAGGCGACGAUGCCUAGGGGUUCUGAGAGGAUGAUCCCCCACACUGGGACUGAGACACGGCCCAGACUCCUACGGGAGGCAGCAGUGAGGAAUAUUGGUCAAUGGGCGAGAGCCUGAACCAGCCAUCCCGCGUGCAGGAUGACGGCCCUACGGGUUGUAAACUGCUUUUAUGUACCAAGAAUGUGUUCUACGUGUAGGAUUUUGACGGUAGUACAUGAAUAAGCAUCGGCUAACUCCGUGCCAGCAGCCGCGGUAAUACGGAGGAUGCAAGCGUUAUCCGGAUUCAUUGGGUUUAAAGGGUGCGUAGGCGGCUAUAUAAGUCAGUGGUGAAAUGCUGCAGCUCAACUGUAGAACUGCCAUUGAAACUGUAUAGCUUGAGUGCGCCUGAGGUAGGCGGAAUGAGUAGUGUAGCGGUGAAAUGCUUAGAUAUUACUCAGAACACCGAUUGCGAAGGCAGCUUACUAAAGCGUAACUGACGCUGAUGCACGAAAGCGUGGGGAGCGAACAGGAUUAGAUACCCUGGUAGUCCACGCCGUAAACGAUGAUAACUCGCUGUUGGCGAUACACAGUCAGCGGCUUAGCGAAAGCAUUAAGUUAUCCACCUGGGGAGUACGAUCGCAAGGUUGAAACUCAAAGGAAUUGACGGGGGCCCGCACAAGCGGAGGAA